UGCACCACUUCUGCCCUCAGUCUCAAGGCAAGGAAGUAAUCAUCAUGACUUAUUCAGCCCACUAGAGAUCUAAGAAUUCAUGGAGAAGUUAAUGUUUUAAUUGACCUUCCUAAAACAUGAAAACUGCAAACCUGAGACAAGCAAGGCAAGCUAGAAGGAUAGGUCUGCUGCCCCAUGUAAAAACUAACAGUGCAGUGUUAGCAGUGAAUGCAGCGUGGGGGAUUAACACAUGUAGUACGGCUGUCAGAGGUGAGGUGUGUGUCCACUGGUGGAUCCAGGGCGUGUACUGCAGACACCAGUUCUGGCUUAUGGAAAGCAUCAGCUGCUAUAUCUGGGCUCAAUUAAGUAUGGAUAACGUGUUCAGUUGAAGUAAUGUAAAAUUUUAUGUUUAGCUUGUAUUUAUCUGGUAUUCAGAUAUUCAUGACCAUCCCGGUCAGCAACAAAGUGAUUUAAAAGUUAAAGAAACCAGAACUGGGCUUUCCAGAAGAAUGAAGAAGAGAAACAAAAUUUAUGCUAUUUUCUAAGCAAGAAUGAAAUAAUUACAAGUUAGAACAGAGGUAUCCUACAUGUUCACAGAAAGGAGAGCAGGAGAAGGUUAUUGUUGCAUUCACAUUUUGAAGGCACGUUCUUACAAACCAUAUAGGGCCUACUGAAUUAUUUUCUAUUUUCAGGUUGGGAAUGAAGAAAAAAAAACAAACAAACCAGAUGAACGUUUGCCAACUUUCUCCAUCGCAAAGUUCAGUACAAGAGGUCACCGAUGUAACAGAGAAACAGCAGAAGAGGUUGUAAUGCGAACAGUUGAAGAUCUUUCUAAUCUAUAACUCAUGUCUCAGCAUCUGCUGGAUCUGACCAUAAGGAACAUCUAAAAGUUUUUCCAUCAUCAGGAUGAAGGCACUAUGUUUCUCUAUAGCAUCCUCAGAUAAGGCUGACCUACUAGCCAUAAAAUGAGGUAGCACUUGAUGAUACAACCUCCUUUUUUGGAACCUUUUCUGCUAUCAGAAGAUGACUGUGGAGCUUUUCCACACAAGCAUCACUGGAAAACUCCUCCUCUUUUGGUAGUGUUUUUCCUACAAGUUGGAUGAAGAGUGCGUGCACACUCGGCCAAGCAUUUGCUGAAGAAAUCUGUGCCCAUGGCUGAGGGAUGCUUGCUAAAUGGACUGUUGUGCUUUCAAAAUGCACUUUCCCUAUUGCCCUGACCUGAAACAAAGCCCCAUGGCAAUAAUUUUCCAUAGCUGAGAGACCUUUAAAUUGAAAUGUUGGGAAGUUGCCUUUCCAUUGGCUCCAGCCCAUUGUUCUCAAUAGCCCACUUACUUUAACUUCCAGCUGUCCUAAUAGAGGCAGAAUAGUCAGCUCCCUGCUUCGUGCUGUGCUAUCAAAUGUCUCCCUGUCUCCUGGUGUGCAAGCUUUGCUCUUUUGGGGGAAAAUCCUUUAGAAAUCAGGUAUUUCUGAUACACAUUUUCACACUAACAUGCUGAACAUCUUAACUAGGAUGUAAAUUUUCUGUUAAGCUGUUUAGGCUAGGAAGGUAACAGCUGUGUCUUGGUUUUAUACCAGGAUUCCUGGAUACUGACUGAUAGCAUUCUGGGGAGCUCAGAAAAGGCUUUUUUCUUGAAGUUUGCUGCUCUUCUCUGCCUCUCUAGGUGGUUUGUUAUCUUGCCAUGGUGCUUUUCAUUUCCCACUGCUCUUCCUCUGCUUUUCUACCCUCUCUCAGGAGCUGGAUAGAAACAUCUUUUGAACUGAAUGAAGUUCAUUUCUCUCUCCUCCACUUGUCUUUCUUCAUUGUUUUCCUUCAGAGCCUUAGUGCCCUCUCCGCACCACCCACCAUUUCCCUAGGGAAUUUUUUGGUGUGGUGAGAAGGGCGAGGGAACCAGGACAGAAGGCUCAGUUAUUCUUAUGACCAGAGAUAAGACAGUGUAGUAUUUGUUACCACAGUUUUGUGUGCUUUGCCUGAAGUACAUAGGAUUUCCUCCAGGGUAGGAGAGUUUUUCAGAGAGGAGAUGGUAUUUAGGAACUCAAAUGCCUUGAAGUCUGAUCCUCCUUUUUCUCCCCAUGAGUGACAAAGAUGAAAUCUUAUAGUACUUCACAUAGCUUCCACACCAAGAUUGAUGCUUUCUUCAGAGUCUGAAGGAAUUACAGCCAUCUGUGUCUGGCCAGAGUUAUCAAGUGCUGCAUAGUAAAAAAGUUAAAAAUAAAAGGAAAAGGAACGAUUCUUCAGGCCACAAGGAUUUGGAUGUCCGCAGCCAACCCGUUCUCUAACCAAACCCCUUGGAGAGCUAAAACCGAACUUUACUCUUUGUGGAAGGGUGGAUGAACAGAUAGAGAUAGAGGAGCAUGAUGAAGAAGAGACACCCAGCAAGAACCCUGCCUAACAACAGAAGCACAGAAUGAGUUCAUGCAUUAUUAACCAUAAAGAAUCCACAUGAUUUUCUUCCUGCCCCAUUGGUUCUCCCAUUCUUUCACAACUCCGUUCAUGUAUUGUUGUGAUGGAUUCUGCGCUCAGUAUUGACUGAGAACCUGACCUGGCUCCCGCUGAAGACGGUUGCAGGACUCCCAUUGACUUUGACGGCAGAUGGAUCUGAAGUAGAAUGUGAAUGAGCAGAUAUGUUCUGGAUGUUUAAGACAUUUAUUGACUCUCAGACUUCAGUUUUGCCCAAAGCAGAAUGAAGUUAAAUAAUUGUGGGUUAAUGAUUUUUAUUUUGACAUGAGGACAGUGAUGAGAGAGGUAAAAGAGAAGUGCACCUCCUAAUUAUAUUACUGACAUAACAGGAUAUAGAAGUGUGCAGUAGGCCCUGCUACAGCAAAGCAGAUAAGCACAGGCUUAAAAUUAAGCAUUUAUUUAAGGGUUUUGCUGAAUAAGGAUGAGAUCAUUCAAAUACUUAAAGUUAAAUGCAUGCUUAAGUGCUUUGCUGAAUCUGGGCCCAGAUACAUAAACCAUUAAACAGUCACUUUAAGAAAACGGUGGAAAGCUGUUAUACAAAUUCUAGACCUUUUAAGUCAUACCUCCUACCUUUCCCACUCUCUCUCUUUCUUAUUAGCUCAAGGAGGAGGUUUUUAAAGCUCCAGUUCACGAAAAAUUAUAAUGUUCAUUGCUACUCAAUUGUAAUUCAAAUUGCUCCACACAGCCCCAAGCAUGUGUUCAAACAUAUAAUCAAGCAAACAGGAGACUUGAAUCUUGCCAGUUGGAAUACUGUCGGUCGCAGAUGCCACUUCUUUUUUCUGUAAGCAUAAAUGAAGCUGGGGAGAAAGGUUGAUAUAAACUGGCUUUUGCUGUCCGUUUUUGGUCCUCUGUUCCUGUGGCUUGGGUUAUUCGGGUACAUGUUGCUUUGUGUCUGUGAGGGCUCCAUUU